rnacentral:rRNA from 1 species
UACGGAUGGUGCGAGCGUUAAUCGGAAUUACUGGGCGUAAAGCGCGCGUAGGCGGCUAAGUCAGUCAGAAGUGAAAGCCCCGGGCUCAACCUGGGAAUUGCUUUUGAUACUGCUUGGCUAGAGUUCGGUAGAGGAUAGUGGAAUUCCAGGUGUAGCGGUGAAAUGCGUAGAUAUCUGGAGGAACAUCAGUGGCGAAGGCGACUGUCUGGACCAAAACUGACGCUGAGGUGCGAAAGCGUGGGUAGCAAACAGGAUUAGAUACCCUGGUAGUCCACGCCGUAAACGAUGUCAACUAGCCGUCGGGUCUAUUUACAGACUUGGUGGCGCAGCUAACGCGAUAAGUUGACCGCCUGGGGAGUACGGCCGCAAGGUUAAAGCUCAAAGGAAUUGACGGGGGCCCGCACAAGCGGUGGAGCAUGUGGUUUAAUUCGAUGCAACGCGAAGAACCUUACCAGCUCUUGACAUCCAGAGAACUUUCUAGAGAUAGAUUGGUGCCUUCGGGAACUCUGAGACAGGUGCUGCAUGGCUGUCGUCAGCUCGUGUCGUGAGAUGUUGGGUUAAGUCCCGUAACGAGCGCAACCCUUACCCUUAGUUGCCAGCACGUAAUGGUGGGAACUCUAAGGGGACUGCCGGUGACAAACCGGAGGAAGGUGGGGAUGACGUCAAGUCAUCAUGGCCCUUAUGAGCUGGGCUACACACGUGCUACAAUGGGCAGUACAGAGGGCUGCAAACCCGCGAGGGGGAGCUAAUCUCACAAAACUGUUCGUAGUCCGGAUCGCAGUCUGCAACUCGACUGCGUGAAGUCGGAAUCGCUAGUAAUCGCAGAUCAGAAUGCUGCGGUGAAUACGUUCCCGGGCCU